AACGAACGCUGGCGGCAUGCCUAACACAUGCAAGUCGAACGAUUGCCUUCGGGUGAUAGUGGCGCACGGGUGCGUAACGCGUGGGAAUCUGCCUUAGGUUCGGAAUAACAGCUGGAAACGGCUGCUAAUACCGGAUGAUAUCGCGAGAUCAAAGAUUUAUCGCCUGAGGAUGAGCCCGCGUUGGAUUAGGUAGUUGGUGGGGUAAAGGCCUACCAAGCCGACGAUCCAUAGCUGGUCUGAGAGGAUGAUCAGCCACACUGGGACUGAGACACGGCCCAGACUCCUACGGGAGGCAGCAGUGGGGAAUAUUGGACAAUGGGCGCAAGCCUGAUCCAGCAAUGCCGCGUGAGUGAUGAAGGCCCUAGGGUUGUAAAGCCCUUUUACCCGGGAAGAUAAUGACUGUACCGGGAGAAUAAGCCCCGGCUAACUCCGUG
rnacentral:rRNA from 1 species